CCCCUUCUCUCGUGAAGCUUCAGUGUCACGUGGUUGAUCGAUCUGGUUGUCGCCCCCGCCGACACCACCGAUCCACCGUCGAGCUCUCCCUCUUCCUCUCCUCUUCAUCGCCGUGCGACCCACCCGCACGUCACCGAGCCACCUACCUUGUCGGGCAGCCCUUGUGCGACGACCGCCACUAUGUGACGAUCUCCUCUUUCCCUUUCCUCGAUCGCACGUUAUCUUUUCCUUUCCUCACCAUCGAUGUGAACCACACCAGUACACCUAGGGAAAGGGGGUUCUUUCACUCCAAUCUCCACCAAAGACUUGAGACGCGGCUGGAGAGCCGAUUUGCCGUCAUCUCACGCCAAUGAACAUAGGGCAACAAUUAUUGUUAUUGCUAAUGUUGCUGCCACAGUGAGGUCUCCGCCGUUGGUACUUCUUCUCCAUGCUUGGCCGUUGCCACCAAUGCUGCCCUCCCUUCCGGAAUGUUUUGAUUUGGAGGAUUGUACAGUCACCUAGUUCCGACCAUCUUGUUCCUAUAAUGAACAUCCCUGACCAUGAGUCGAUGGAGGAGCAAUUCGAAAUGAGGACGAGCACUUCGAUGUGGGGAUUGUUUAGCUCGAUCUACAUUUAGAGGCAGGUAUUUCUUGCUUUAUCUCUUUAGUACAUUGAUCUUAGUACAUGAGCUAUAUUUUCGGAUAGUUCCUGUAUUUAUCUUGAUUCCACUCGUAUUUUUCUUGUGCUAGAAGCUUAUCUACUCGAUCUUUGAGCUACUCGUUUCAGUAUCUAUACAGUCUCUCGUUGUUAUCCAUGAUAUUUUGCAGAUGGCAGUUACCAGAUACUAGAUAUUAGAUAUUGGAUACCAGAUACUGGAUGUUGGAUCGCAACGACCGGCUUGAAGGGGGUUGGAUAGCCUGCAAAGACAAAAACAAAAGCUAAUCCUUUUCGAACUCUCAACAGAACACUUGCAUAAAUAUAUUAAACAAAUAAACUAAAAGUAAGAGACAAAAGAGAUUUACU